UGGGGGAAUAUUGGGCAAUGGGGCGCAAGCCUGACCCAGCAACGCCGCGUGAGGGAAGAAGGUUUUCGGAUUGUAAACCUCUGUCGCAGAAGACGAAGGAAAUGACGGUACCUGAUUAAGAAGCCCCGGCUAACUACGUGCCAGCAGCCGCGGUAAUACGUAGGGGGCAAGCGUUAUCCGGAUUUACUGGGUGUAAAGGGAGCGUAGACGGCAUGACAAGCCAGAUGUGAAAACCCAGGGCUCAACCCUGGGACUGCAUUUGGAACUGCCAGGCUGGAGUGCAGGAGAGGUAAGCGGAAUUCCUAGUGUAGCGGUGAAAUGCGUAGAUAUUAGGAGGAACACCAGUGGCGAAGGCGGCUUACUGGACUGUAACUGACGUUGAGGCUCGAAAGCGUGGGGAGCAAACAGGAUUAGAUACCCUGGUAGU
rnacentral:rRNA from 1 species